rnacentral:rRNA from 1 species
GACGAACGCUGGCGGCGUGCCUAACACAUGCAAGUCGAACGGAAAGGCCCGGCUUUUGCGGGGUGCUCGAGAGGGGAGGGGGUGUGAAACACGUGAGUAACCCGCCCUUGCCUGUGGGAUAUCUUCAGGAAACAGGGGCUAAUACCGGAGAGGAGAUCUUGCUGCGUGGGGGGGGUGGGAAAGUUGCGGCGGUUGGGGAUGGACGCGGGGGUUACCGGGUUGUUGGGGGGGUAGUGGCUUACCAAGGCUUAGGCGGGUAGCCGGCCUGGGAGGGUGACCGGCCACAUUGGGCCUGAGGUAGGGCCCGGAGUGCUACGGGAGGCAUCGGUGGGAAAUAUUGCGCGAUGGGCGGAAGCCGGAUGCAGCGACUCCGCGUGGGGAAUGACGGCCUUCGGGUUGUAAACCGCUUUCGCCUAUGACGGAGCGUGCGUGACGGUACUGGGUAAAAAAGCACCGGCUAACUACGUG